UUUUUUUUUUUUAGGUGAACAAGGUUGGAGGUUGCUAUUUUCGGGCAAAAGGCGAAAGAAGAGAGAGCGGCCACGAGCGCGAGUCGUGGCUCGUCGUGGGGAAGACGAGGCUCCAACGGUUAGAUGUGUGCCACGUGUGAAGAUCCGACGACCACGCUAUAACCACCGUUAACGUGUAGUAGUGUACUACUAGUCUCUGUUUUUCUCUCUCGCGCACAAAAAGGAAAAGAAAGGAACAUGGGCUGGACUGCCAGAGAAACAAAGGUCGGCCCAGCCCAUUUGGCCUCCGGGUUGCCGCUGCUCCCGGGCCCCCGCGGCAGACAGCGAGGACAGCAGGGUUUAAUGCGCUGCUGGUGGCCUCAGCCCUUGGUUUGGUGCGCCCUCAUUUAUGACGCGCGCAGUCUUCACUCUUCAGUCGUCGUCAGAAUUUCUUUUUUUUUUUCUUCUACUUCUACUUCUUCCCCUCUCAAGUCUCCAGCGUCGCCGCAUCCCGUCAGCCUAUGCUGCGGCGAGCCGGCGACUGACCGCAGCUUUCUGCCGUCUCCAGUGGAGGCAGCGGGGUUAGCGCGCGGCCUCCGCUGCGACGGCGACGGCGGCGGCGUGGGAGGGCCAUGGCGGUCCCCGAGCUCGCCUUCCACUUGUUCCUGGCUGCCUCCCUGCUCUCCGUCGCCGCUCCUGCGGUGGCUCGGAGCCGUGAGUCGCCCUCUCCCUGUCGCCCCGCCCCCCUCCCUCCCUUCUCCCUCUGCCUUCGGAGGCAGCUAGAUCCACCGUUUCUUGUUUUAGCGACCGAUUCUAAAACGAGCCGCGAUUGCUGGUUUCUUUCGUCGCUUGCGUCAUCGGCCCGGGUGUAUUUAUCUUGUUUGCCGUCGUCAUGUAUGUACAGUACUACGCUGUACCUAAGGCACCGAAGAACCCAGCUACCAAGUUGAUAUGAUUCCUUGUUGUAACCUCUGUGCUGCCUGCUAAUUCUCGAAGAAUAUGGGGAUGCAAUCUGUCUUGUAGUAGUUUCGGAUGGGGAUUUUGCCUCACCACAAAGAGACUACAAGAGGAAAAACAGACAGCAACCAUUUCUUACUUCACUUUCCUCUUUUAGUUCUUCUUUACAUUUUGGUCUGGCCGUGACUUUUGCAAUUUUCCGUCCACACCUAAGAUGGUGUUUAUGUUUGUUAUAUGUAUAAAAGACAGCUUUCAAGUACUUCUGAAUUCGUUAUGCGGCUCGUGUGCAUCGUCAUAUGGUUGUCUUUAGUUUCUAGUUCACUUGCUCCCCUAUCAGUAAAUUUCUGAGCUUUGACAUCAGCAACUUCAAUUUUGUGCAGCAUCUUGCCCUGAUGGUUGGCAAGUCGGUCCUGCUCAGAACAAAUGCUUCAUGUACAUAUCAACCUCCCUUUCCUGGGAUAGAUCCGAGGCUCUCUGCCAUAACUACAGCGGGCAUCUGGCUGCAUUAUCAUCAGUCCAGGAGCGAAAUUUUGUGAAGUCUCUCUGUGGAUCAUCGUCCUUGGGAUGCUGGGUUGGAGGGCAUCACUACAACACUAGUACUGGUAAUGGUUGGAAAUGGUCUGAUGAUUCCUCUGUUUGGAACGAGACUGUCUUUCUUGGUGAGCCAUUGCAUGCCUGCAGUGAUGCUGCAUGCAAAGUAGCCACCGGCAGUGAUUUGUGUACUUUGGUGACUAAUAAUGGUCGGGUUUCAAUUAUUAUGGAAAAAAGGUGCAGUGAGGCCCAUGGUCUGAUUUGCAUGAUGAACCACGGUGAGUCUGUAAUUUAUUAAGGCUUACCAAUUUCGCUAAAAAUGAUAGUUUGAUUUUCAUGGCAUUCAGAUAUAUUUGCACUGACAGUCUAUUUUUUGUCAUCAGUGGACAGAUGCUACCAUGAUCACUGCCACAAGGAAUAUUUCAUAGCCAUCAUUGCUGUGAGUGGUUUCAUUCUGACAACCACUCUAGCCGUUGUGGUUUGGCUGCUUGUCUACAGGCGAAGCAAGAAAAGAAGAAGAUCGCGAGAAGUGUUAAGUGCUUCAGCUGCCGCAUUGGUGGCACCACAAUGGAAAGUAUUCACUAGUGAAGAACUUAGAUCAAUCACAAAGAACUUCAGCGAGGGAAACAGGCUUCCUGGUAACGCAAAGACAGGCGGAACCUAUAGCGGAAUCUUACCAGAUGGAUCCAAAGUAGCAAUCAAGAGACUUAAGAGAUCCAGUCUGCAAAGGAAGAAGGACUUCUACUCUGAGAUUCGUAGAGUUGCAAAGCUGUAUCAUCCUAAUUUGGUGGCUGUAAAAGGAUGUUGUUAUGAUCAUGGUGAUCGGUUUAUUGUCUAUGAGUUUGUCGCAAAUGGUCCUUUGGAUGUGUGGCUGCAUCAUAUUCCUAGAGGAGGGCGGAGCCUUGAUUGGGCAAUGAGAAUGAGAGCUGCCACUACUCUUGCUCAGGGGAUUGCGUAAGUCACCCUCCCCAGGAAAUACUUUGUUCUUACUAUGAAUUCUCUUAGGUCAUUUCCCUCCAGGACAUUGAAAUAGUGAUCGAUGAAUGUGUUAGGCUUCUUAUGUUCUACCUGGAUUUGUUUUUGUUAUCCAAUUUUUUUGUUCCACAAUAUCACUCUUUUUAUAAUUCCCACUAACAUUUGACUCAUGCAUAGGCUUAUGAAUAUAUUUUUGCUGUGCACUAGUUUUCAUGCAGAUUUUACAUAACGCUCGCAUAAAGAAAAAAGAUGUGUUUGUCCACUCUACUUCAUAAUCUGGUCUGGUAUUAUUGGAUGGUUUGCUUUACCCAUAGUCAUUAGAUAUCUGUAUCAAUCGGGUGGAGGAACAUGGAUUGGCACUUGAAAGUACCAUACGAAGGGGAUAUACAUCCUUAGGGCGAUAAUUUAUGGACAUGGUAUGUGACCCUAGAUAUUCUUGGCUGCUGACCCCAGGAAGAAGCAGGAUUGAAAUGCAAAGAUCCAUGCCGUGAACCCACAGAUAAAUGAAUCACAUGCCUUAAAGGAAAAAGUAAAGAAAAGGAAAAUGAAUAUAAGGAUAGUUGGCCUGACAUUUCAUGUACCAGUACCACCCAGUCCAUCUCUACCUUGCCUUGCCUUCCCUUCUAAUCCUCAACUGAAUCUCCCAUGCAUGCACAACAACCUCCUUCAUUUCCUCUCUCCAUUGCUGUUCUCUGUAUCUCCUUCCACAGCACAGGGGACUGCUGCACCUCCUCAAUCCUUCAAAAUAGUACCAUCUCCCAUUGCCUCUGAAGCCGGCAGCAGCGCCACACUCUCAAUCCCAUUCAUGAUUCGCUGCAGCAGCAGCUCCAGCAUCUUGUUGUCAGCUUCUCCUAUCAUUUCUAGCUGGAGCUGAUGACUCCACAGCAAAACAAAAAGACAACCAGCCUAAAAUGGGACGUCAACCCCGUGCAACCCCAACCAUUGUGGCCACACUCUCAAUCCCAUUCAUGAUUCGCUGCAGCAGCAGCUCCAGCAUCUUGUUGUCAGCUUCUCCCAUCAUCUCUAGCUGAGCUGACAACCCUGCAGCAAAACAAAAAGACAACCAGCCUAAAAUGGGACGUCGACCCUGUGCAACCCCAACCCUUGUAUUGUUACGAUGCCCUGGGGUCACGGAACACUCCUCUGACUGCACUCCUGUGACUAUGGUUUUGCCAUAUUACAUGAAACAUAUAGCAACACCAUACUAGGUUAGUAGGUUCUGUUUUUGUCAUUUGUGGCAUAAAUUUAUUAUUGCAUUUAUGGUUGAUUUUAAACAUUUACAAGCUACCAUGCAUUGGAAUGCCAUUUGGCAUACUUGUUUUUAACUUACUAUAACCUGUAAAUAAUGAUUACGGUAUAAGACACGACACGUGUUCUGUAGCGGCGAGUCAUACAGAAGAUUUGUACAGUCACUAAACAGUUUUGAUUCACAAGUUGUGUUUACCUUCAAUAAGAACUGCAAUAAGUUCAAAUUACUUAAUAUGCGAGCUGUUUGUAUCUAUUUUUAUCUUUGAGGCCUUACUUUCUUAUAUAAGUAUUCCCCACUCACUUCAAUUAGUGUUCUAUAUCUUAUUAUUUACUACUGGCCAUUUAAUGCAGAUUCUUGCACGACAAGGUAAAGCCGCAGGUGGUGCACCGUGAUAUCCGUGCAAGUAAUGUCUUACUCGAUGAGGAAUUUGGUUCACAUUUGAUGGGGGUCGGCCUUUCAAAGUUUGUACCAUGGGAAGUGAUGCAUGAGAGAACUGUCAAGGCCGCAUCCUAUGGCUACCUUGCUCCUGAGUUUAUAUACAGGAACGAGUUGACAACAAAGAGCGACGUCUACAGCUUUGGUGUGCUGCUCCUAGAAAUUAUCAGUGGUCGUCGCCCUGCACAGUCAGUUGAGUCUGUUGGGUGGCAGACCAUAUUUGAAUGGGCAACUCCUCUAGUGCAGUCCCACCGCUAUCUUGAUCUGCUAGAUCCACACAUCCAGGAAUUGCCGGAUACAGGAGUUAUCCAGAAGGUUGUUGAUCUUGUCUACUCCUGCACUCAGCAUGUUCCUUCGGUGCGCCCAAGGAUGUCGCAUGUCGUGCAUCAACUACAGCAGCUUGAACUGAAGUCUGCAGCGUCGGAGCAGCAGCUAAGGAGCGGGACAAGCACCAGCGCAACAUCUCCAAUGUUGCCAUUGGAGGUCCGGACUCCUCGCUGAAAAUCCGCUAGCAGAAUUUGAGAACCUUUUAUGUACUACAGCUUCAGUCAGCACUCCGUAGGUGGUAGCACAUUCUUUAAGAGUGUAUAAUGACCCAAGAGCCACCAUUAUCGUAAUCAGUAGUUUAGUCUCCCCAAGUGCUGAUGGGGUAAGUUGUAGUCAUUUGUACUCAGGUUGACCUCUACUCUGCUACAUAUCUCAUGGGUUUUGUGUAGUGACCUAAAGAAGCUUUAGGCCUAUGCUCUGAAGUCUGAAGAAGCAACUCGUGUAUUUGACAGAGUAAUACCAAGUAGUAUGUAGUACUUCCUAUCUACACAACUAGCAGUUUGGUUUCUAUCAUAUUUACAUUCGACAGCAAAAAUAUACCAGUAUCGACAUUCAGGGGCUGCACGUGCAUUUAUCAUCUCUCUACGUAUUGACAAUCCCAGGUGCGAAAGUGUGUUCUUGAUCUGUACAAUUAGGUGUAGUUAAGCGCAGGAGAGCAUGCGCCAAGGUCAGGUCAGGUAGGGAGCUUUCUCCUAAGCCUGUUGAAGGAAGGUCGCAGCGGCUGGCUUGCGAUCGGCUCACGCGGCAGCAACGGCUUCUUGAUCUGUUUACUGGCAGGUGCCAGUGCCGCGCCUGUGCUGGCCUUGCUGAUGUUCGCUCUCUGCUUCUUCGCCCUGGGGGGCUCCAGCCUCUCCAGAAUCCUUGAAGUCUUCUCAUCCAGUGGCUUCACUGCAGGAGACGGUGCCUUGGGGCGGGGAGGUUUGUCAACAGCAGACCUGGGAUGGGCGGGGCUGACAAAGUCAUCGUCGAGGUCGUCGAUGAUGAUGAGCUUCUCCCACUCCUCACUGAUGCUGGGAGAGACCUUCCCCUUCUUGGACUGGAUCGAUAGCUUGUUCUUGCUUGGAGUUAUGAAUGUUGAUGUCUGAGGCUCGCUGAACGAGUGCAGAUGGUCGUUGAGAUCUCCAGCUGCGUCCUCAGGUUGGUCCAGGAACAUGCUUUCUUCCAGGUCCUGACAUGUUGGUACCUGAGGUUCGCUGAACGAACCAAUGUUGUGAGGGUCCUUCGGGGCACAGGAUGGAGCAAUUGAUCUGCAAAAUGAAGUCGGUCCAAUCAUGGACAUCUUAUUUGGCGAUUGUUUCCAGGAUCGAUCAUGAUAGCCAGCGACAGAAAACAAGCAAAUAACUGAAACCAUGAAAGAGGAUUACCCAAAUUGCAGGCUGUCCUUUACCAGACGAUUCAGUUCUGAAUGAAAGCCUCUUUCAUGAUGUAGCGGGUUGUAAUCCUUCAGCAUAAUCUGAAGAAAUCAGUUGCUAGAUUGUUAACGUGGGGGUAAGGAAGCUGCUAAUAGUAUGCGGAACAAGUUUAUAGAGGCGUGAAGCGAGGAAGCUACUUUCCGUAUAGAGAACACGGAAUGAAAAUCAUUUGAUGACGGCAAGUCGCAACAACACAAAAAAAAGGUGAUACAGCGACGUACUUUAGACAAAGAGGUUUCGAUUGAAUUCUUGAUUUCCAUGGUAAUCUUAGAGCUGCAAUCCCGAGUCAUGUCUGGGAGAGGCAAUAUCUCUUCAGAUCCAGCAAGUCUCUGCAGCAUGAUGUGUUCAGAUCAUUAACGCAAGCCUAUAACAGACCACAAAAUACUUUCUAUUCUGGCAACUUAUAAGCAUCUAAAGUAGAAGCUUUAUGACAAAGAUAGUUAUUCAGCGUUAGGUUUUCCAAUCCAAUAUGGUUUUAGGCUACUACUACAAGCGGUGAAAUAUGCCAUUCACUACGUCACAAAUCAAAGUAGAACAGGGAAGUGUUGCCUAUACCCUCAGAAGCAUUGGUCCUUUCUCAGAUGGUUGGAGAAGAUAGUAACACUGAAGAGUUCCAAUUUUCAUCGUUUCAAUAUUACAUGAUGAAGAGCAAACAAGUCCCUGGUCAAGCUUGAAAAGAGUUUCACAUAGACCAUAGAAAACUGCACAGCAUAGAUAAUAUUGACAUAUCAGUAUCGUUUGAGAAGCUAGAGAUACAUCAUAGUACAUAAACUUGAAAUACUAACUUUGGAUGUUCUGAUCUGAACUCUCGUCAGUUAGAGAAGCUUCAACAUCAUUUGAACUGGGGGUCACAACAUAUGACCUCCCCAUUAUGACUCCUGUUAACACAUGUUGUCAUUUGUACUUUAGUGUUCCUAAUCCCUCACUAACUUUUUAAUUUACCAAAAAAAAUGUAUCUGAACAGAAAGCAGUCGUGUGUACCUUCAUUCAUUGAGGCUAAUUCAGUGCGCUCAAUUACAUGAAAAGAAAUGGAAGUAGAGACUCGCUGCAAGUUUGAACUACCUUCCAAAGUAGGCAGAAACAAUAAUGUUUGUUCUCCAAUCCUCACAGCAGUAUCAAUAACAUCAGAAGCUGCAAGCUGUCGAUUAGUUGUUGGACAUAUCCGUUUUGCCUUAUUUGGGAUGAUAAGAUCAAUAGGGUGACCAUGGCACUUGCAUGCCUGUCCAAUCAAUGUGUUUUGCGUUAGCAUAGCUGUUGAAGAGGCUAACUGUGAAUAGGAGUCAUGGAUACGUAAUUGCCAUUAUGUGAAAGAAAUAAAAAGUUGAAACAAAAGAUGAUCAAAUCACCAAAAAUAUCUACAGAAGUUCCUUUUAUCAGUCAUUCUUCCACUAACAAAUAGGUAUAUAGAACAAACUCAAUGCUUGCAAGUCACAGAAAUGAACAUUGAGCAGUGAAAGGGAAACAUCAGACUCAGAUAUGUUCUGUCACUGAACUUUUUGAAUUAAAUAGUGAGUGGGGUUAUAAAAUGACUCAUAUCACCUGGCAAGGUGGAAAACCAUCAGUUAUCUGGUUUGCUGAUGCAUACAGAUUGCAAUAUAUGUGUUUAGCAGAAUCAAUAAUGGGAUCUCUGAACACAAAUACAGCUUGCAGUGUAUCCUCCUUGUCAUCCUUUAGCUCUUCUAACCACCUCUUUACUAGCCCAUGCAGAACUUGGGUCUCUGCAGUUCGAAAUAUAUAGCAAACAUAUAGUUUUAGGUUACCUUACAUGUAAGAAGUGUUGAAUGUUAACCUGAGUGUAAGGAACUCCUAAUAUGGAAGUAAUAGUUGUGUAAGUCAAAAUGUAACUCCGUGAUAGUAUGAUCUUAAAUGAUAUAGAAAACAAACUAAAUACCAUGGCCAUGUUAUGAUUUAGUAGGUUGAAUGGUUGAUCAUGAAAGAUCAUCUUAUUAUUCUAACAUAAACACCAGCAAAUGUUUACUAAUAUCAUGAGAUUUCCUUACCAGGAUUGUAUCUCCGUACCACACAGUUUUCAAGAUCACAAAUUCUGUUUACAAAAGAAUUGGCAUUUUCAGAAGCACCACCAUACAUGAAUGCAGCUUCUGCUUCCAACAUUAUAAAAUCCACUGCAACACACUGUUCUGCUGCAUCCUGAUGACAAUACAAGACAGUGAUCAGAAGAUGCUAUCAUAAAGAUCAAGGAGUUAAUGGGGGAAAGCAUCACUCAACCCCUUUCAGAAAAAAUACAAAUUAGUAUGCUAAUACCAUAAGAGAUUUUCGGAGAGCUUCUGUAUUUUGUGCAGACAUACAUAUAGCAAUCACUUUCUUGGAGAUGUCAUCAGUAGCCCAAGAAUAGAUGGCUUUGUUGCUAAAAAGGUUUGUUAAUGACACAUCUGUGCAUAAGAAACAGGAUCAGGCAAGUCUGCAUCUGAAGAUCAUUAUCCUGUUAAAAUACAUGCAUAUUCACAAUAUUUAUGUUCUUCAGAGUUUGUUUUGAUCUUGUAUCCAUCAAACAAUGAAACAGGAAGGUCAUGGACCAAUAUAAUUGCCGUUACCUCCAGUAGGCAAAGAUCCACCAUGUUGGUCAGCAAGAAAGCCAUCCAGAGGUAUGUUAUUUACUGCAUGGUGGAAACCUCGUAGACUGAAUUUUUCUCCAGGCCUAUACCCAAUCUUUAGCUGAACAAAGUUCAGAUGUUAGAAAAUACUAAUAUGACAGUGUCAGAACAGUAGGAAGGCAUGGUAAGUAUCUGCAUUAAAAAAAGCACUACAAACAGGAUGAGCUGUGUGAACAUAUCGCUAUGUUCGCAAGUAAUGCAGGUAGAAAUACAAUGUGAAUUGUCAUCGGUUAAGUUCUCCACAGAGACAGCAAAUGCAUAUGCAUUUUACUUUAACCAGCUGAAAAACAUUGUGCCUCAGUAGCUGCUAAAGGUGAAAUAGAAGUGAUUCAAGUAAUCCCAAAUUCUUAUAUAACUGGCAGCACGCACAAUCAUUUGUAUAAUAACAGUGAAGUGAUAAAUUGGUCCCCAUUCCUUGCAAACAGAAGGUGGCAAACCAACCGGUUCUGCCAUAUGAGCAUGAAAAAGGAGCACACGAAGUUAACUGUGGGUCCUGUAUAGGCAAAAACGCAAACAAAGGGAGCACACUGCAUAUACAGCAAUGGAGCAUCAGUGGUGUGUAUCAGUGUCCAAUUCGGGCCCAAAACAAACAAAGGGAGCACUACAUGUCGAUCGGCAGUUGGUGAUGUGGUCAAUUUGGAAUCAGCAAACAGCUGUGCACGCAACAAUAAACAAACAGGAUCCGAUCGGCAGCAAGGAGGGACGGAUACGGACCUCAGCCCAAGAGGAGGAGCACGAGGAGGACGGUUUGGAUGAAGGAGCGUAGACGUAGCCGAGGGCCAGGCGGUCGGGGAGCGCGCCGGCGGCGGCGGGGGAUGCCGUCCCUGCGUGUGGCUGUGACGUAGUGGCGGCGUAGAGGUUGGCAAGGUCGAGCAGGCACUGCACGCGAGCGGCAAACCGUACGAUGUUAGACUAGGGCUGGGAGCUCAGCUCGAGAGAUGAAAAUGCGGCGGAGCCGCGGCGAGAGGGAGUGCGUGAGCGGGCGGGCGCGGUGGUAGGUACCGUACCUCCUUGAGGAGGUGGAGCAGGGCAGGGGGGAUGUUGCGCAGGUCCAGCAGGAAGCAGAGCAGCGCCAUGGUCGCCGGCCCACAUGCGUCCACCCCUGGUGAUGUCGCCCGCUCAGUAGCCCUUCUCCUCCAGCGCCGGCGGCGACCUGGCGACGCGUGCGGGUGCCUGCCUUCACCAGCGCCUCGCCCCGCCGCCGCGCCGCGGGGAGGGAGUUUUGAACGGGUGCCUUGCAGAGCACGCCCCCCGCCCGUACGACGCAACGCCACGCAACGGUAUAUGUAGACAGGUGGUGGACAAACUCAUCAGUCCACUUCAUCUCCAGAGGCCCAACCCAUAAGGCCUAGUGAAAACAUUUUAGAUAUUACAUCGGAUAUUUUAUAGGACGUUAAAAAAAAAUAACUCGUCUGAAAACCGCGAGACAGAUUUAUUAAACCUAAUUAAUCUAUCAUUAGAACAUGUAAAUUACUGUAUCACUUAAGGCUAAUUAUGAACUAAUUAAACUUAAAAGAUUUAUCUCGCGAUUUCUAACUAAAUUGUGUAAUUAGUUUAUUUAUAUAUAUAUAUAUAUAUAUUUAAUACUUCAUGCAUACGUGCUAAGUGAAAAAAUUUUUGGUUUGGGAACUAAACAAGGCCUUAGUGAAAACUUUUGUGUCUGACCACUGUAGCAUUUUCAUUUAUAUUUGACAAUUAUUGUCUAAUUAUGUACUACCUAGGCUAAAAAGAUUCGUCUAGCAAAUUAUAGACAAACUAUGUAAUUAAUUAUUUUUUAUCUAUAUUUAAUGCUUCAUGUAUAUGUCUAAAGAUUCGAUGCGACGAAAAAUCAUAAAGAAUCUUAGAAAUUUUUUUGAGAACUAAACAAGUGAUUUAAUGCUCCAUGUAUGUAUAAAGAUUCGAUGUGACAGGAAAUCUUGAAAAUUUUUGGGAUUUGGAAAGAAACUAAACAAGGCCUUAGUUCCACCCAAAAACCAAAAACUUUUCAAGAUUCCACGUCACAUCAAAUCUUGCGGCACAUGCAUGGAAUAUUAAAUAUAAAUAAACAAAAACUAACUGCACAGUUUAUCCACUAGACGAAUCUUUUAAGUCUAGUUACUCCAUGAUUGGACAAUAUUUGUCAAAAAAAACAAAAGUGCUACAAUGCACCAAAAAAUUUUCGUGUAGGAACUAAACAAGGCCUUCACCAAAAACUUUUCAAAAUUUCCGUCACGUCGAAUCUUGCGGCACAUGAUAGUGUAUUAAAUAUAAAUUAAAAAAUAACUAAGUACACAAUGGCUGUAAUUUGCGAAACGAAUCUUUUGAGCCUAGUUAGACCAUGGUUGUACAACAAUUGAUAAAUACAAACGAAAGUGCUACAUUGUCUAAAUCCAAAAAGAUUUUGGAUCUAAACAAGGCCUAAGCACAUGAUCUGCCAGAAACCUAGAGUCAGGCCUUGUUUAGAUGCAAAAUUUUUUUGGAUUUUGACACUGUAACACUUUCGUUUUUAUUUAACAAACAUUGUUCAAUCAUGGAAUAACUAGGCUUAAAAGAUUCGUUUCGUGAUUUACAGGCAAACUGUACAAUUAAUUUCUAUUUUCAUCUAUAUUUAAUGCUCCAUGUAUGUGUCGUAAGAUUCAAUGUGACGGAGAAUCUUGAAAAGUUUUUGGUUUUUGAGGUGAACUAAACAAGGCCUCAUUGCCUUGUAUUAUUGUACUAGCCUUGUAGGAGUAGCACUAUACUAUCUUUCUCUAGAGUACAAGUUACAGAGGAACUGUUGCUAAAAAAAAAGGUACAGAGGAACUGGAACCUGUACUGCUUCUACACAAGUUCAAACUCAACUAAAGCCCUGAGGAAGUCAGAUUCAGAAUAGAAAAAGCUGGAGCUACACCUGUGUUUCAUCCAGCAAUCUAUGUUAUCUGCUUGUGUUGAUUCUGUUCAGGAUAGCAGGAAGGUGAAGAUCGGCAGCGAAUUCGGCUCAUUCAUGAGCUCAUGCUCUCUACAGGCCUCUGUAAUUUACUGCCACAAGCCCACAACACAAGCAAUAGAGUGAACAUGUCAACCCAGAUCAGAUAACAAGCCUCUGGGUCCAAUCAAAUGAACACAAGAAAGUGUGUUCCAUCUUCCAUUCCCAUCACUGCAGCGGCCAUUAGGUCAGGACUUCCGGAUAGAGAAGAUGGAACCAUCGUUCAGCGGCAGGAGGCUAAAGUAGGACCCAUUCUCGUCGAGACAGCACGCGUGCCACUUUAUCUGAUACGAGCCUUCAGGGAACGAGGAGACAUCCAGCAGGCAGCCUGAGAACCCCUGCCCACUAUCGGUUGGUUCAAAGCAGGCAAAGGCAGUCACCAUGUCCAUGCCACAAUGGGAAUUCUUCGUUUCAUUCUUGGCCUUCCUCAGAUCACUCUUUAUGUACUGCAGCAGCUUGGAAUUCAGUUCGACCAUUUCAGUGGUCCUACGUGGAUCAAACUGCUUGCUUCUCGUUCCUGCUGCGUCCAGGCAGGUCUCUAAGCUUGUGGCUAGAAUGCAGUACAAUUUCACGGCGCGAAUGGCGCUUCUUUCUAACAUGCGCUUCCACUUCAUGCAGAGGGUUAGAGACAAUAGGGAACCAGGCUCUAUUGACAUUCCUUUUUCAUUCACAGGAUUCGAACCAAACAUGUAAAGUUCGGCACCAAGGCAAGGCCUGCAUACAUGCCAAAAAUGAAAAGUGUCAUAUCAUGUUUGGAAGCUCCAUUCAAACAUUAGCAUAGUGUUUGGAACAUUAUCACAUAAAUAGGAAAGAUAGCAAAGCAUCUCCUGCUGUAAAAGUAGCAAUUUAGUACUAAUUACAAUAACUUUUCUUUCUGUCCCUAGACAAUACUAAACACAUGCUAAUAUAAAAAAGGGCAUUUCGUAUAUAAUUCAUCCAGCAUAGUAAAACAGCAUACUUACCUUACUCUGAAAAAGUACUUGGGAACCACGAAAGGAAAUUCCAAAUACUUCUGCAAGAUGCUGGACAACACUUGCAACCCUCCUUGCAAAGCAGAUAAACAAUCCUCUCCAUUUUGUAUUUGUUCAGCUUCAGCACUACCACAUACAGCAAGCAAAGAUGCCACAGCAAAAUGGUAAAGAGAAUACAAAUCCUUCUCCAGAUUACAUGAACCAUUGAUCCGUGUGCUGGACUGUAAGCUGUCAAGUUCAUCAAAAGAAGUGGGCAUGAACUGUCGCAGCUGGGAAACAACCUGCCAGUCAGACCCAUCUACUCUUCCAUGCAGAUCUUGUAGGAUUGAAGCAUGAGAAAACCUUUUUGGAAGCUUGCAGGACUCUACGUAGUUACAUGCCUUUGGGAAAUAAACAGAAUAUGUGGUACAAAAUGCCAAAAGUGAGCACAUGAAAGCAAGCCUGGAUAUACUACUUGAGCUAUGUCGAUCCAGGUCCAUAUGGGAUGCGGCAAGAAGAUCAUAACUCUUUGCCAAGUCACUUAAUCUUAGAGAGCAAUGAUCCAAAGCAAGUGCUUGGUCUUUGAUAAACUCUCCAGAUAAAGUUAAAUGGUCUCCUCUUGCUUCAUAAGAAGAGUGUGCACUAAGGAUAUCAAGAACAUUUGUUAGGACCUCAAGAAAUGAUGAUCUAAGGCUGAUGAACCACCUCUGGAAUAAGAAGUCAUGAUCUGAAGAAGCACUGGAUGCAAGAGCAUUAUUUGCUAAUAAUGUUCUGCCACAAAUAUCAGAUAUCUUUGCUCGGAAACCAUGCAACUCUGAUGAUCUACUGAGGGUGCUAUCGGCAUCUGUUUCAGUACAGUAAAGAUCCUCACUAAAAUCACCCUCCAUUUUUAACUCACCUACUAACUUUACAGUUGCUGAGGGAAAAAGCAAUAGUUUCAUCUCAAUUUCACCAGCAGAAAGUAGCAGCAACGAUUUGAGCCAAAAACUGAAAGAGUCUGCUUUAAAACCAUCUGCCAGUUUUCUGAAGACAAAAGAAGCUGUGAACCAGAGACCUUUACGACAACAGUACAUAGAAGACUUAUAAGCUUCCCAGUAUUUCUGCUUCUUUAUAAGCAUUUUGGUCAUUCGAAGUGCGCAUAAUUCCUGAGUUAUCCAAACAGAAGGAGCGAAAAGUGUAUUACGAUGCUCUUUUGAAUCACCAGAUUCAUUAUUACCACCACUAAUUUUACAAGUAUUCCGGGUAACACAAGCACACAUUACCAAAUGGAAGGAUUCAUAUGUGCUCCAGUGCUGAGGGGCAUCCUGAUGCACAUACUUGAUUAGACCCUUGAUGCUCUCAUGAGAAUUAGAUUUAGCACCAGAUGUUUCACAGAGCACCUCAUGACAAGCAUUUGCAAAUUUGAGCGUGCAAUGAAUUAGGUCAUUCAUUAUGGACUUUCUAUUCUUGCAAUCAAAUUUGAUAAGAUCCAGUUUUCCAUUGCCAAUAUCUGUUUCAGUGCAGGAAGCUUCAAUGCUUGUAGCUAACAGUUGAACAUUGUCAUCUGAAGUGUUCAAUUCUUCAAGGGCAACACUUGUCUGGAAUGGUUCAGCAGAAGUAACAGAAACUUCAGAGUAAUCACUUCCAUUAAUUAGAAACAGUUCUUUUGCAAGGCUUUUCAGUAUAUCAAGAGCUACAGCAGCAGCAGAAGGGUAGCAUGAAACAAGCUUCAGCAUAAGUCUGAAAGGAGUUUUGCAUGCCUUAUCCACUUCAGAUGAUAAGCAGGUAUUUCUGCUAGCAACUUCAUUGACCAGAGAUAUAAUAUGAUUCACAAUCAUUGUAAUUAUCCUACACAGAGGUCCGUUCAUACUAUUUUCUUCAGUUAAUGGUAUGUUGUUCAUUGCUCCUUGCCACUCAGCAUAUGCAAAUGAUGAACCCUUAAGAACUGAUAUGUUAUUUGACCUCACUUCCUUGAGAAUACAAAAGAUUUCCACAAGAAUUUCCAGAGCGGUACCUUGUAUCUCCAAAGAAGAAUCUAAAGAACUUUCAGCGGCUAGAAGAAGCUUAGAUAACUCAGAACCAUUGGCAUGAUGAUUACUUGACGCUUUACUGCAUAACAUCUGAAAAUGUAUUUUUUACAAUCAGAUAAGAGAAAAAAAAAGGAGUAUAAAUGAAGCAGAGGCAAUAGUCAUCACCUUCUGUAGAAUCCUUAACACAUCGCUCUUACAGUCAAGUGGAAAAUCCUCAUCAUCAAUUAGUGGCAACAAUCUGCCAAAAACAGUCCUGAUAACUGGAAAAUGGCAGGUAUUUCUGCGAAACAUAAAACGCAUACAUUUUAACGCCACAGACUUCACAGAAGAUGAAUCAUGAUCCAUAAACAGUAAAAGUAAAUCCACCUGCAAUAGAAAGUUGAUCAAAGAAAUUAAAUUAGUUCAUUCAAUGAACAGUGGACAAUAGUCAUAUUUGUGGAUCAUUGCUAGCCCCGAAGGUCUCUAAUCCGGAGAAUCAGAUAAAUAAAUAGCUUUUAAAAUUAAUAUAGAAGUUUUGCAGGCAUAUAAAACGGAGGGUGCAAUAUGAAUGCUAGCGCCAAAGAAGGGAGGAGAAAAUGGCUAUUAUAGGACUCCAAUCGUUGUGGUUUCUCUCAAAUAGGACUGCAAACAUUUGUGUAUAUCAUGGACAAAUGUUUGGAGUCCUAUUUUAGAGAAGCCACAACGAUUGGAGACCUAUAAUAGCCAUUUUCUCAGAAGGGAAGGAGGUUUUUUUGGGUAACCUCCAAGAACUAUGAAGAUGUGUAUAUCAUGGACAUAAUUUAAAUCUUAUCUAGCAGUGCUUUUACUUUACAGAAAUCACAAAGAAGAAGCUGUAUUCCAGUAAACUGACAAAGAAUGAAGUAUAGGGGAAAAUUUCACAAGGGAGGCCAACGGAGGGGCCUCCCAGUGCCAACGCCGGAGAUCAAACCCAGAUCACCGGCUUGAGAGCUGGCUCAAGGAGCCACUCAACUCAGACUCACCAGCCCUACAUAUAAGAAAAUUAAUGUUGUUUGAAAAAGGAAAAAUGCAAUUGCCAAUAGAAAUUUGGGACCAUAACCAUAUGUCACUUAAAUUGAAUCUUUUCAAUAAAUAAAACUAUAUGGUUAACAUGACAUAAUAGGAAACACAAUUAAAGGGAUGAUAGCAUUGUGCUACCUGGUCAGGAAACAAAAUGAUCGACUUAGAUGACAAUCUUGAGAGCGAAAAGAGCAUUUCAGAUUUGAAGACAUCUUCCAGUGUGCCUAGAACCAUCUGUUUUCCAACCUGUGAGGUUGACAAUAAAAAUGUCUUCUUAAAGUUCAGUGAAAACAACGGCAUACAAAAAUAUGAAGAAUAACUCCUUUAUAGGAAUGUGAAAGCAGAAUGUAACACUAUCCUGUUCUCUCCAUUUCAAAAAUCCCCUGUAUCAGUUAUCAGAUUUUUUUUUAUCAAUGACAUGUAUGUUAGUUUGGCCAUGAGCGUGACUUAAGUUCAAUAUGCGUGGGUGAACAAUCAUCUAUAUGUAAAAUUUGCACAGGCAGCACACAUGUUGACAAAAUUGAAGUAAAUGGAUAAAUUUUGGGUUUAAGCGACAAAUGUAUAUCCAUAAACACCUCAUGAACUCUAUGGAUAACAGCCAACGUACAAUCAAGCUUCCAGAAAGCCUUAAUUGCUGCCAUGAUAACUUGUGGCUCUGAUGUCUGAGAACAUAUCAAUCUUCUGAACAAUUCAAGAAUGAUCCUUGAGAAGUCCUCUGACAGAUGACAAAUGCAGCCAGCUGCAAAAAUUGCUGCCUUGACCUGCUAAUCGACGAGCGUGUUUGUUAAUCUUCAAAAGUGGACAAACUACAGCUUGCAAACACUUGAUGGAAAUUACAAUUUACUAUCCAAUAAGGUAGGAAAUGUGUCUUGGACAUAUCAUUCGCGGCGCUGCUGAGUGGUAAAGAAAGGUACUGACCUCCAAAGGACUGGGAGCACCCAAGCUGGAAAGUAUGAGAGAGCGGACGUGCACGCUGUCCUUGGCGAUGUCGGCGAAGCACCCGAACACGCGCAGUGCAAGCGCCCUGUCCCGUUUGUUCCCCGUGUCGUAGACCGCCUUCACCCUCCUGAGCAGCUGGUCGGGCUCCGCGACGCACGCCCCGGCUAGCACCCCUGGCCCCGUGGAGGUGUUGAGGAGAGUCCUGACGAUGCGGACCCGCAUGGCGCCGUCGGCGGUCCUGAACUCAGUGGCGAGGCGGAGGAGCAUGGUCUCCGCGAAGACGCGCGCCUCCCCGGGCAGGACGCCGUACGCGGAGGCGACGGGCGCGGGGGCGGUGGCGCAAGUGCAGAGCUGGCGGAGGCGUGGGCCGGCGGCGUCGACGGCGCGGACGCGCGUUGCUGCGGCCGGACGAGAGCGGAGGUGAGCUAGGGGAUAGAGGAAAGAGAUGAAGAAGGGAGAUUGGGGCAGUCGACUCUACCUGGUUGGCGGGAGCGGAGGCCCCUGUCGAGGUCGAUGCUCCAGUCCAUGGCGGACGCCGCUGGAAUCCGCUCCAACUCCAUCGACGCCGCCGCCGCCGACGGCGGACGGUGGUCCCUGUGUUUUCUAGGCCGCGCCGCCGCACGGAGAGUCACAACGACGUUCGAUCUUGAUCCUACGGUUUUCUAUCUCCAUAAACCGUAAGAACCUUUUCGCUCACCCUAUCCCACGGGCUUCGGAUUUUUAGGCGUACAAUUUGAACUUCUCAAAUUUAUAUAAAAAAACACUAACCUCUCCAACAUCAAAUUAGUUUUACUAAAUUCAUAAUUAAAUACGUCUGGGCACUAUAUUUAUUUGAUAUCAUAGAUUUUAGUGUAUUCUUUUAGAGAAGUUUAAUCUAAAACAAUACUACUAAAUAGUCUAUAAAGUUAAAUAGAUAGAGUAACACAAUUUUUGGGACGAGUAAAUCAGUUUCAAUUCCAUUUAUAAAUCACUAUAGAAACCCUAGUAAACUAAUGCAAAAGAAAUUAGUUCCGGCUAGAAACAAUUAUUAAGGUUUGGAUGAGUAAAUCAGCGGCCCUGUUUGUGCCACGGUUAAAGUUUACCUUCGUCAUAUCGAAUGUUUGGACAUGAAGCACUAAAUAUAAACUAUUUACAAAAUUAAAAACACAGCUAGAGAGUAAUUUGCGAGCCGAAUUUUUUGAGCAUAAUUAUUCUAUGAUUGAACACAAAUUGUUAGAUAAAACAAAAAUACUAACCCAAACUAAACACCCCCUUAGAAAUCACUAGGAACAUUAGUAAAGAAAACAAAACAGAUUUGUUCCGGAUACAAACAAUUAUAAAACAAACACAAAACAGAUUAGUUCCGGAUUGAAACAAUUGUAAGUUUUUUUUACCGGGGAUUAGAAUCCAAAUGACUUCCACAGUAAUUGUACAUUUUAUAUUUAUAUGUCAGAAAAGUGGAAAUCAGUCUCGUUUAGAUCAUCACUCACUCUAAGAGUUUGGUUAAAAUUAGUAGCCAAAUUCUAAUGUUUAGCCAUUUUGUAAAAUAGAUAACUUGUUAAAAAAGACGAGGUUCACAACAGCCUUGCUAUCAGAUAGCUAGUGUCAGUGUUUGGCUAUAUAUGACCAACGAAAAUCAAGAGAUAGCAAACUUUCUAUUUUACAAAACCAAAUAGCACAUCUGUUGGAGCCUAUUUUUCUCCAAUAAAAGUUAUAAAAGAUCUCCAUAAUAAGAAUAGCAGAGCUGUUGGAGUUGCUCUAAUGACUCUAUAAUUAAACAUUUACAAGCGGUUUGAUGAUGAAUGGUCGGAUGGUCUUUCACGAGCCGUAGCUUUUUUUAAAAAAAUGGUCUAUUUUUUCUAACACUUAAAGAUAAUUGUUCGGUUAAUUAAUUUAAUUGUUUCAGUUGCAAACUUUUUCAACAGUAAAUUUUUUUCAUGGUACUACAACUAAAAUCGUUCUUCCGUGUUGUGUGAAUGGGGUGUUUAGAAAAAAAUUGUAAUUUUUAACGGAUGUGAAAAAAUCGUUUUUAUAUGCAUAUAGGGGACAUGAAAUUAGCUUUUCCACUUUUUUUGACAAGGUGCUUUUCCACUUUGUUGAAUGAGUUUUAGUGAGGGCUUUCCAAUGCAACACUAAAAACAAAGCCAUGGGACUACAAUGACUGAUAGAUAGUGGUUUUAGAUGUUUUUUCUUGCAUUCGUAGAACUAAACUUUACUCCAGAACUAAUAUAGGUCUGCAUGGCUACUGCCCUAAUAGGAUAGGUAAAUUGCAACGAGCCCACCGUGCCUAUGUCACUAUGUGCUCGCGAGAGCCAAGAAGAGGUUCACAUUAUACAUUGAGUUUUGUUUUUCUCAUACAUAUACUUUUUAGUGUUGUUACUCUAGAGUAAAUUUUAUAAUAUAAUUUAUUUUCUAGACAUCUUUUUUUCACUAUUCCACACCUUAGUUUGUAUAUCCUACUCAACCGCUAUCAAUGACUCCACACUCUCGCUAGCCAAAAUUACCCCUCAUGUCCCCCCAUUGUCCUUCGUCAUCGUGGCCCCCUCCCUCCCUCACUCACUCUCCAUUGCCUGCGCAACCUCUCGCCCACUCCCUCACUUACAUGGCUUCCUUGACCACCUUCACAUGUGUCAUUCUCUAGUUGUUUCCAUCGCCUAUGUCGCCAUCAUGCUUAAGUGCAAGUGCACUAUUGUGCUCUAAGGGGGUGAUUGGUUGCCCCCACGGUGGCAUCCUAAGGCCCAUCCGGUAUGACUGUGUGCACCUGGCCCAUGUUUGGUUCCUUACCUUAUAUCGUUUUGGUGUAUCUUCUCAUUCUCCUCUCCCCCUCUGUCCCAGCUGAGGUCGUCUUCUCGAGGUGAGCUUCCCUCGCCAUCCUUCCAUGGUGCGCUCCUUGGUGGGAAGGGGAGGCGCGAGCGCGGGAGAUUGGAGCGUCCCGCCGAUAAAAUCACGCGCAUGGGUGGGCGUUAGGGUUACCUCCCCCAUUUGGCGCCUCUCCUUCCUCUACUCUCUCGGUGCGAUGAAUCCUCUUCCACCUUCUCGGCCUCCCUCCGCCAUCACCGUCGUCAAUCUCCGGCGGACCCUUGGCAUUCCUCCCUAGGUCGUGUUGGUAUACAAGUCACCUCCCCCUCCCUCUCCCCCUGUAUGAGCUUUGAUGUGCGCGGUGAUUUUGUUUGCAGUUUGCAUAUGGAGCUAGGGUUCUUGAUGUUAUCCGGUUAGAUCUGUGCGGUGCUUGUGUAGAUUUACCAGUCAACUUGUGAUUUCACAUGUUCUACAUUCAGAUCUGUCAUGGUUAAACCCUUUUUUGAGCUUUGGACAUGUGGUCUGCUCUUCCACUUGCAUAUGAUGAUGCUUUGAUUUAUUACAAACUGAGCAAAGUGCCUAGGUUGAUGAUGUGAAUGUAACUGUAGGCGCUGGAGGAGCACCUUUGAGUGUGGUAGCCGCACCUUGUUUAUCUUGUGAUGGCUGAACUUUUGCUUGCAUUCUCUAAUCUGUACUGAUAAGUAGCAUUGGUGGAUUUAUGUAAUAAGCACUGAGACCUAUGGCACUUUGCAAUGAUGUGUUGUUUCUUCUCUUACAUUUUUGUGUGGUUAAUAGAACUUUGGUGCUAUCAAAUUACCAAUGAUGAUAUCUUAUUUGCAUGUCAACUGUGUUACCAAAAACUAAUGACCUUGAGCUUGUGUUGAGGUACUAAAACUUUGUUUCUUAUGCUCCAAGCUCAAGUUCAACCGAGGAGCAACUGAUAUCUGAGGCCAAUCUGUUGAAUACUACAUCAUUUAUUGCUAUAAUUUAGUUUUGUUCUUGCUGGUGACUAGAGUGGUAACCUCACCAAACCAUACAUGUGUGCUCACACCUUCUGUCAUGCACCAAACCAAACAUAGCUGGUCACACCAAGUCAUACCACAAAACUGUCCAAACAAGCAACCAAACACGAUUCCUAUGAUCCAGUAUGCUACACUCAUUUGCAACCAAAUAGGCUAACGUGAUGGUCUCAUUUGGAAUAGUUUGAGCCUGCACAAGCCCUCCAUCCCGGAUGGCAAACCAAGGAGCAACCAAUCACCCCCUAAGUUAGUUGUGACGGAGAAGGAUGAUAACAAGGAGGCGAUUACUAGUUGUGACAGAGAAAGAUGAUAACAAGGAUGACAUCAUCUAUUGGUUCAUCGAUCUUGACCUCACUUGUUCUUCAACGUUGCCUUGAUCCAUCAGCACCAAGUCUUGCUCAAGCUUCACCAUCACGUGCGGUCCCUCUCUUCAAUGCCUCCGACUUGCCCUUCACUCUUGCAACUGGUCCAUCGAACCAAGCUGUCACACCCGGUUUUAAGGAACAAAACCAGGCUAGAUAGGGCAAGAGAGUACACUACCCCACUUUAACAAGAUUGAGCUACUUCUCAAGAUGGUUCCUUCUCGAUCUCCUUUGAAAUAUAAGAACAGAGACAACACAUAGGCAUCACGCAAACAAGACAAGCACACAACACAUCUUCGAUUCUACACAUGUUUCUUCAACAAUGGUGGUCAUCCUAAAGGGCAGAUGAGAGAUGAUAUAGGCGAUCGAACUUUUGAAUGAAAUAGGAUUAGAAAACUUUUAAUAAACUUACAUAGAACAAAAACAAGGGAGUAAGCAGUAAUAGCUCAAAGGAAGCUAUCAAGGAGGGGAUACAACGGGACAAGGAUUGAGAAAUAAUCAAAAUUAAAGAGUCAAUGGAUAAUAAAAUAGUUUUAUAGCAAAUUAGACUUUUCUAAUCGACCAGUUCUAUCUAGGCAUACGUCCUACAGUCAACACUGCUCUGAUACCACUCUGUCACACCCGGUUUUAAGGAACAAAACCAGGCUAGCUAUAUGUGUGCCCAGGAAGUCCACACAUACAACAAUACAAAGGAACAGUAUCAGAAACAAUGUUAUAUAGCGAAAACAUACUUAUAAUUAACACUUACAUCAGAGUAUCGCGGAACGGUAACUAAUCUUCACGCUCAAUCUUCAUAGGGACGGUUGAGUGGGGGUAACAUAUGCCUAGCACUUAUUGUAACCUGAGAACAUCGGAUGUAACUCCUUCGCUCCUCUGAUAACUCUUACUAGUAAACUGGGGUGGUGGGAAAUAGCAAGAGUGAGCACAUAUCGUACUCAACAAGUAUAACCAGGGGUUCAUGAGGCUCAAUUAGCUGACACUGGUUUGACUGCAUUUAGCUUUUAUAUGUAGAUAGCAUAUUUAAUCGUUGGAUAGCAAAUAUUAAGGUAGCAUAAUUAAUCCCAUAACCACAUGAUCAAUGUAUACAAGAAUUAAGAAUAUCACAUAUAAACAACAUAAUAAACCAUCAUUUAUCAUCAUUAAUCAUGUUCAUCAGUGUCCAUCUAUUCCGUCAGUUUUCCGGGCCGCCCGUAUCCGUGGGCACAGCUAGUAUACCAGAUUUAACACUCUGCAGAGGUUGUACAUCUUUACCCAUGAGUCAUGAUUUACCCUUUCGCCCGAGGUAGCUAGUCUCUAACCCCCUUCCUAGGGAGGUCGGCAGGGAUCACUAUAAAGUCUUUCAAAAGUUCGUCUAACAAGUUAGGGCCGCUUGGUUUCAUUAGUCAGUCCAUGUGAUUCAUCCGCAGGAAUCCACGGUCAUAUAGCCCUCAUGGUUGUACGAGUUGUCCCAGCUUUUGCCAAGGGAUAAGUCCUUAUGGAGGGUCAAGAUCAAUCCAGCAAAAGCCAGAGUUCUUUCCACCUUUAUAUUCAAGUUGCUAGAAAGUUUAUUUUAUUGUUUAUUGUAUAUCCAAAUAUUCAUGUUACAAGAUCAUGGAUUAUAAUCAAGCACUAGCAAAACUAUCCAAAUGCAUAUCCAAAUAGGUAACAAGAAAUCCAGGUAACAAUCAUCUAUGAUUUUGCUAAGGUCAUCAAGGUGGACACAUGCAUAUGAUAUAUGUAUUAAAAGUGUGUAGGUAACAAGGAUGAUCCCAAGUUAUACUUGCCUUGAAUAUUUGCUUAAUUCUUACAUCAUCAGCUUUUAGUCAUCACCUUCUGACCUUCAACACUCACAAGCGGUUCUCGUCUACUCGCAGAUCACAGCAACCAAGCACACCAAAAAACACAUACAAGCAACAAAUAGAAACAACUAAGAACAACACACGAGACAAUGUUAAACAACAUACUAAAAGAGAGCUCGCUGCUACGGUCACGAGAGCGCAAGAAAACAUUAAGAACAAGUCUAUAGUUAAAAAGAAAACAACUAUAGAGAGUUAUAUAUUAUUUUAUUAUUCUAUUUUAUAAAAGAAAACCUACAUCCUUGAUUUAUUUCGAUUUAGCAAAACCAUAAGAAGCAAGUUAAUUUAGAUUACACAAAUUAUAUCCUAGUUUAGAAAACAUUUAUCUAUAAAUAUUGUCAUAUAGCUUUAACAAGUUAAACAAAAUCAUGACAAAAUAUAUUUUAAUUCAAAAGCUAAGUUAAGACUAGUCAUAUUUUAUUAACAUAUAUUAUCGUAUAAUUCAACUUAGAUUUAUCUUGGCCAAAUUAAAAAUAACGUGUGGGAACACCUACUCAAAGUGCAUGUGGCGUGAAUUCAAGCUAAACAAGUUAUAAUAUAAAAAUACAUUUAUGAUACUAAUUAACUAAACCAUAUAAAUAUUUUUAUUUAAACUAUCGAAGUGUAACUCCUACGUCAUUUUUGUAAUUAGCAAACUAAAGUAAAUUUAAUCAUAUUUAAUAAAGUUAAAUUUUUAUCUUUGCAAAAGAAAAAGCAUAUGCAAAAGCAGCUAAUUAUAUUAAUACUUUAUUUAUAAAUAAACAUGUCUUAUACUAUUAUUUAAUUCAUUUAAACUUUAAUUGGCAAAAAUAAAUAAAAAUAUCAGAGCGAUACUAUAAUCUAACUAUAAAGGACACGUGAUUUUAAAUUAAAAUUUGUUUCUGUUGUAGUUAAUCAAGUUAACAAUGGAUACUGGAAAGGCCAAGGUCAAACCAUGUGUUUGCUUGCUUCGAUUGAAUGAUAAUGCUAUCUUUUGCUAAAGAUACAUAGGCACCAAAGCUAGUAACAGAGCUACAGAGAGAUCAUGCAGAGAGACGUGGAUAUGCUCACCAUAGCUAAAGACGAACGAUCAGGCACAGAUAAUAGCAUCCUUGCCCUGACGAUGAGAAGAGCCAGCGGCAAGAGCUUCACCUAGCCGUGCUCCUCCGUCAGCACGAAAUCUCGCAGCAUCCGACUGCGCAGGGUCCCAGCAUGAUAUACAAGUAUUCACGAUGUUCAUGGCUGUGGUCUGCUAGCCUCUAGUUGACGAACUUGAGAAGAUGACUCACAAACCUUUAAGAGGAUUGGGCUUCAAACAAUGCUCCAUGGCUCACGGCUGGAGAUGCCGGACCAAAGAUGAUCAGAGCAUCAACAUGGGGAUCUUUGGCCUGCUAUUGAUGGCCGAUGAACUGGACUUAGGGCAGUGCGUUAACGCAUCUAGGGAUUUGACGUGUGAUGCUUUGAUGGAUGUGGUCGGCGGCGCCAGCAAAAGAAGUCGGCGAGGCGCAGAUUGCCGGCCGGGAACAAGACGCACCCAUGUUGGAGAUCGGUAGGAACACAGCCGGCGGCUUUGCUAGCUCAGAUGUUGUGUGCGGCGGCGUGGAUCAUAAUCAAUUGCCUUAUUUUCAAGGGUUUGCAAAAGAAACGUUAGAUGCUAUUUAUAGUCAGAUACGACUAGAUAAAUAUAAAAUUUCCGGCGUGUGCGAUUCAUAGAGAUUGAUAUAUAUAUAUAUAAUAUUAUAUAAAUGAUUGAUUACUUUAUGAGGAAGCGCACGAUGUGAUCUUUAACCAUGAAGGACGUGGCCUGGUCGAUUGCUCCUUUUGGAAUGUAAAUACGUGUCAUCACGCCAAGCAAAAUAGCCCAAAUAAAGUAUCUGGAGUCCAAUAAAUAUGAGUUUCCUUGGAUAUGUUGGAAAAAGUUUUAGCAGAAUUCAGAAUAUUUCCGGUGAAGAUAUAUAUUAGAGAUAAUUUGAUGUGCAAUGAUCUCAAAUAGAUUAUUUGAAUUGGAAGAAAGAUAUUUUGGGAAACUCUAAACAUAAAAAAAAUUAAGCUUGAGAAAGUGGCGAAGUGAUUUUAGAAAAAAAUAGAAAAACGCGCUCUAAAAUUUUACCCACUCACAAUACAAAGCCAAACAACAAACAAGCAUCACACCACAUCAACAAAAUCCCAUUAAGUUAAUUUGGAACGAUUUGAAAAUUCAUAUUUUUCUAUAACUAAAUUUGCACUAACUCAAAUUAAACUUGGCAAAUCUUAUACAAAUAUUAAAUUCAUUUUAUAUUUAUUUAGUGUGUUCUAUGCACAACCCAAAAUUAGAAAUUUUGGGGUGUGACACAAGCCUCAUUCUGAUCUUCUCCACCUUGGUCACAUGACUCCACGUCAUGUCUCAUAUGCAAUGAGCUCCUCCAUCAUCACAUAAUCACCUGUGGACUAAUCUCUCGUGUAUCUCACAUAAAUACUAUCAGUUCACCUAAGUUAUCACUCAAUUACCAAAACCAAACAUGGACCUUUCUGUGGGGUUUGGGGAAUUAGGGGUGGUGAGCGCCUAGGGUUUUUUUAGAAAGGGCUGAGCACCUAGUAGGAUGGGCUGCAGGAAUGGCAGGCUCCCAAAAAAAAUUCUGACAGGUGGGCCACAUAAAAAGUUGGGCAGGAAGUGGGCCAAAUUGCCGCGUGGUAUGGCAGCCAAUUGGUGGCGACGGUUAGUGUGUUGUUAAAAGUUGGAUAUAGGGACAAACAGUCCGACAUUAAAGCCAAUUAACGUCAAACGGUGUAUCGCUAUAAGGAGCUAUAACGUCGGAUAGUCCAUGAGUAAUUUUUGACGUCGAACCUUCUAACAUUAAAUCGAUAUUUUUAGCGACUCCAGACGACGUUAAUUCUGGGAUGUGGCGUAGUGUUAGGCCAUCUCCAAUCUACAAUGGUAAGAAUCAGGUGUUGCCUUUUAGAUGACAUCUCAUCUUGUAUGCUCCACAUGAAAAUGCAUCUUUUUAUUCUAUAUAUACAUUCUCUCUUCCUUCAUCUAUGCAAGACUGCAAGAGAGUAUAGAGAAGGUAUGUGAUGAAGACGUCACUCCUUUAGGUACUCGUAACACUUCUCGAGUUGAUAUCCAACAACUAAUUCACAAUAAUUAUUAAAUCUCAAGAUAAACUCAUCCUAAGUACUUAUUUUUAUGAUUAUUAAAAAUACCACCUAAUGAUAGUUCAGACAUGAAAUUAGGCCAAAAAGUAAAACUAAGGACCGAAACAGCCAAUUCUUCUUCUUCUUUUUUGAAAAAAAAAGUUUAAAAUUUGCACCCAAUAUCAAUAGAAACAUACACGUCUUGAGACCAAAUCAAGGGGGCAUAUAUAUAUACAGUACUAGCUAGAGAUAAGAGAAGACAAGCUUUGUGUUGCAUCUCACGAACCUGCCCUGAAACUUUGAGCAAAACAAAACUUUGUAAUUCAUCUUCUGGGUGUAGACGUGUAGUUGCCCCUUCUUCUGUUCUUUCGUGGACUGCAGUUGAGAGUUGAGACUUGAGACUCCCCCUCUCUUCUGUAUCCGCGCGCGGCUUCCUCGCGCCUUCAUCUCCGCACUCCGGCUCUGCAUUAGAAAAACUCCCGGCAGUUCGAGCUCAAGCGUCACCCCGAGGCACGAAGUCAACGACCUAGCUGAUCACCCAUCCAUCCCGCUCAGCGCGGCGCUCAUCGGAUCUGCCGCAAGAAAGGUUAUGUUAUUAUAAGCAAGCUGCUGUUGUGUGGCAGCCACGGAUCGUCAUCUUGCCCCAACUCCAUAGCGUAGCGCGCAGAGGGAGCCUUCUUGCUUAGGACAGUCCAGAACACGAGGCAACGGCGACGGCUAUGGGCGGACAUGGCCACCCUUACUCGCCGGCGGAGCUGGAGCUGCCAGGGUUCGUGCCGCAGCGGCUGUCGCAGGGCCAGAUCCUCGCCCCUUUCGUGGGCACCGCCGUCUUCUCCGUCCUCGGCGCCUGGCUCAUCUCCGGUAACCCCACCACUGCCUCCACUCUCCUUCCCGAUUCGUUCAAAAAAAAACUCUCCUUCCCGAUGAUCCUCUGCACAGGUGUGGAUCCCGAUCGGUGAUGGUGAUUGAUUUGCAUGCGCGCGCGCUUCGCAGGAAGAUGCGGCGGCGGUAGAUUAUCCAAGACCGACCGCUUGCUCUUGGGCUGGUGGGUGUUCACCGCGCUGGCUCACAUCGUCUUCGAGCCACCCUUCCUCUUCACCCCUGAUUUCCUCAGCAAGGAGAACCCAAAUUUCUUCGACGAGAUGUGUGAGUUCUCGAUCUGGCGCUGCUACGCUACGACCCCAGAGAUCUCGAUCGCUGUGCCAAUUGGCCACCAGUCGUAGUUUUCAAAUCAGAUUAUUGUUCUUUUUUUAAGGCCGUGUAUUAUUGUUUGACUGACUGACCACUGACAGAGCAAAUGCAAAUGAUGUUUCAGUUAAAGAGUACAGCAAAGGUGACUCCAGAUACGCCUCUCGGAACACUGUAGUCCUCGCACUUGAAGUGAUAACUGUUGGGUUCAAAGGCCCUGCAUCGCUUCUUGCAGUGUAAGAGCAGAGCUGAUUCUCAUCUCUUUCCAAGCACGCAAAAUUGGUCACUUCAAGUUAUUUUUCCUAUGUAACCACAUGCUUUGCUUGAUGCUUGCAUUGCAGCUAUGCGAUUGCAUCCCGGAAGUCGUACAGCCACAUCCUCCAGUUCGCCGUUUCUCUGAGCCAGCUAUACGGAUGCUUGGUUUACUUCAUCACCGCGUACUUGGAUGGCUUCAACUUCUGGGUCAGUCCGUUCUACUUCUGGGCAUAUUUCAUCGGUUCCAACAGUUCAUGGGUGAUCAUACCGACGCUCGUCGCCACAAGGAGCUGGAAGAAGAUUUCGGCAGCAUUUCAAGCUGAGAAGGUCAAGACCAGAUAAUCCUGCAUUCCUGUGUGGUUGUGUCCUGCCGUGCGUUUGCCACACGUCAGAAGUUUUAUCCUCUUCGCUUGAGCUUUUAUGUAUAUUCAACAGUAUUUUUUCCUCACAAUAAAUCAGUGGAUAGUACUUUGAGUUAAACAAACAGUACUGUACAAUGCAUGCUAUACGAGAAUGGGCAUCAUGAUCAUUUGUUGCUGAAUAUGGGGUUCUUGUGUUCUUGGUAAAAGUAAACCUAUAUGCCUUUUGUGAAACUUGUACUGUUUUGCCGCUUUUCAUGCAGUAAUAGGCAACAGUAAUGGUCUUAUUUCAGCCUGGCGUGUAGAGCAACUCACGUUUUGGCAUUUCAUUUGAAGCUGCUCCUUUCUUCUGCCAUAUAAUUUCGUUUGCAUGCCUUAUCAUUAUAACGGAAACAGGAAGCGAAACCACAACAUGAUGUUUUUUUUUAAAAAAAACACCCUAAUUACUCUAAGGUCUUAGAUAAUCAUUCAUUGUUUUUUUCUUUCACGUCACACCACAAAGUGUUUCUGAUGUGUUUAGUUCAAAUCUAAGCUUAAUAUACGUGUUCAAUAACAUGUAAAUUGAUACGCUCAUCGUUUCCUUCAUACAUGAAUAUGAGGUUUGCAUGAAGUCCAGUUCAUUAGGUUACUUCUGACUAGAGCUAGGAUUUGGGCCGUGCCGUUUGAGGGCGGAUCAUGACACAGUCUUUUGGCACGACCUGAAGCACAACACGGCACGAAAUAUUUUAGGCCGUGUUAGCACGACACGAACACAAGAGUCAUGCCGACGGUGCCGUUCCCACAAUAUUGCCACAACGGGCUAUAUGGCCUGGCCCGUAUCUUAGGCCGUGCUUGGGCCGACACGACACAAAAUUGACAUGUAGACAUUUCUCUGUCCUCUCUUCGUCCUCAGUGACUCCUCACCAGCGCCUUGCACCGUCUGCUUUUUUCUCGCAGAGCCAUGGACGCCAUCGAGCACGCCAUCCAACUCCGCAAGGAGGAUGUCAGGGCCAUCACGCGGAUCUAGAACCGCACCACCGCCAUCGCGCGGAUCUAGUCACAUUGUUGUCGGGUCUGGCUCCUUUCCGUGGUGUCGGAUCCUCACCGUGGUAUGCGAGCGCGGGCCGUCGGGCACCACGGUGGGGCAGCUCCCACACGCAUGCCGGGGAGCACCGGCGGUAGGGGGCUCCUGCAUGCAAAUGGUGGAGCGGACAUGGUGGGAUGGGGCACGACCUGGGAAAGGGCAUGUGGGGCUGGAGGUUAGCAGGGCUUGCCACAGCUCGUGUGGCGGCCGAUGAGGGUGCAACAAUUGCUGGCAUGGGCAUGGGCGUAGGCGCAGGCGCGGCCCCGACCCACGUCGUGGGCGGGACGGUGCGGCCAACAUCUAGAAGAGAACAGAUAGAGGAAGGUUUGGGCUGCUGACUAACGGGCCCCACUAUAGGGCAAAAUGGUCCUUUCAUCUGUCUAUUUGACAGCGUUAGAGGUAAAAAUUGACGAAAUGACAUAUUGGGCAAAAUAGUUUAGCGUUAUGGCAUCGGGGUCCGUCUGAACUUUUUAGUAACAUAUAGGAAUCAACUAUCUUUUAUAAUGACAUACGGGAAAAAUGUUUCUAAGUAAUCACUUCUUGGUUACCACAAUUAUGUACUAAACGUCAAAAAUUUCGGGUAUGGAGAGAGUACUAUUCUCUUUGUAGUAAGGCCAGUCUCAAUGCAUAGUUUCAUGGCACAGUUACCAAGACUAUAAACUAGGUAACCGAGCCAUAUAAGUUUUAUGGGGAUGAAACUCCUCUCUUAUCUGAUGAAACUCUUUCAUUUAAUGACUCUGCCAAGUCAGCAAUUAUGCUUAUGUGGCACCCAUUUAAUGUGCAUGACACUCUCAUAAAACAUGCAUUGAGACUGACCUAAACGACUUGCUUGUCGACCUUAAAUUUAUUGGUCUAAUCUUUCACAGAGGUUUGUUAUAGUUGGAACCAAUUUGCAUACCAGUUAGAUUAAUAGGACGACUCAUAUGGGGAAAGAGGUAUUAUGUUUCCCCGUGUGGUUGACUCAAUACAAACUAAAAUGAAGAGGCUUUACUCAGAGCAUCUCCAAGAGCUUUUCUAAAUUUAACUCUUUAAAUCAUUAUUUAGAAAGUCAUUUGUAUAGAAAUCACUUUUUAUAUUUCUUCUCUCUCCAACAGUUUUUCUAUAUCUCAUACAUACUUUAGAGAGUCAUUCUCGUCUUUUAUAUUUAGCUAGCAAAAAAUCCAGAAUAGAAGAUGACUAUAUUUAGAUAACCAUUUAGAUAAGCCGUUGGAUGAUAGUUUUUCACUAAAAUCUAUAUUCCUAACAUUUAGAAAGGAUAUGGAGAGUAUCUUAGAGAUGCUCAGUGUUAAUUUUUUUUAAAAAAAAUAAAAUGAUAUUAAUAUAGGGACUCUAUUACAGAACUAUAUCUAAUUAAUAAUAGAAUCAGAUAAAAUAAGGGAUUUGACCAAAGCGGUACGGACACAAGGUUCGUUCCACUGUAAAAAGUUGGCUAACUAAAAGCAGUAUGAAUGUUUAUACAACAUAUACACGUACUGUACCUUUUUAAUUAUCAAAAAGGCAGGUCAAAAAGCACAAUGGCAGCAUUGCUACAACGUUCUUGGUUAUUGCACAGACAACUCAAAGAACACACAACGAAGGCAACGCUAUUUGAAGUUUCUUUCUUUAGUUUUGAUCGGACACAUAGCUACACGUUGGCCAGGCAAAUCAAGAGCAGUGCGUGGAUGGAGCUUUGACCGAGUUCUAUCUACCUGAGGAAGCCGUGUGCCAUCUUAGGCUUUGUUCAGCUCCCUGGAACCAUAUUCUUGCCCUUCAACAGUUCCGGGUUAGGAUCAAGCAGUCUACUUCCUCCACUCAUUUCUACACUCGGGUCAGAAACCGAUGAGAGGUUCGAUUUCAUUCCGGGCCGUGGAGAUUAGAAAAAAAAAAGGCAGUUUUUUUGGAAUAAUUUUCAUUCCAGAUCAGCCCAAUGAAUACAUAUUUUAGUUCUGAUCCGAUUUAAAAACGAGUUAUAGUAAUCCACUUAGAAUGGGCCCGAAAACAAGUCAAUCCUGUAGAAACAAACAACGCCUUAAACAGCUCAUCGGCAGCACUGCCGACACUUUCCUCCCUGCCACCCUGCUUCUCCACCAGCUGCUCAGCACCCUUCACGACGUCCCGGUGCAAGCACAAGCUCCUUGAGAUAUAACUUAGGCCUUGUUUGAUACAGCUCAACUUCACUAGUAAAGCUGUUUUUUUAGAAAAUAGCUUUAUGAGCAACUUUCUAGAUGAAGCUAAGCUAUUUUGAAAAAAGUGUUUGGUAAAAUAGCUUCACCAACUACUUCUUACAUAGAUGAGAGAGAGAAAUGAGAGAGAGAGCUGCAAUAAGCUACUUUUUUCAGCUUCAUCCCAACUCAUGUCUUUGGGAGAGAAGAACAAAAACAGCUUCAUCCAUGAAGCUGUUUUAGAAACAAGUGUUUGGCAAAAAAAAAAACAGCUCACAACAGCUCAUGAAACUGUUGUGAGUUGUAUCAAACAGGCCCUUAAAUAUGACAUAGCAAGGGCAAAGUAGUCCAGAAACACGCCUGUGGGCCUGUGGCCGUCUGGCGACUUCCUUUGCUUCUCUUUCCUCUCUUCCUAGGACAACUACUAGAAGCUAUACGGAGAGCGAGUAUGUCUUGCAUAUUGAGAUAGAUCAUGAGAUGUUGUGGAUAAUUUGCAUUAAGAUGUUGGAAGUUAGUGGCAUGGCAUGACUAUUAGUGGAAGAUGAUGUUGAUGUCUUGCUUGUUCAAAAAAAACUUGAGAUGAUGCAUGGAUAGCUUACAUUAAGAGGUUGAAAGUUAGUUGUACGACAUGUCAAUUAGUAGAAGAUGAUGUGGAUGUCUUGUAUGUUAAGAUAGAAGUUGAGAUGCAUGAAUAGCUUGCAUGAAGAGGUUGGAAAGUAGUGGCAUGACAUGUCUAUUAGUGAAGGUUGGAAGUUAGUUGUAUGACAUGGCAAUUAGUGAAAGAUGACGUGGAUGUCUUGCAUGUUAAGAUAGCACUGAGAUGCAUGCAUAGCUUUCAUGAAGAGAUUGGAAUGUAGUGACAUGACAUGUCUAUUAGUGAAAGAUGAUGUGGAUCAUAUUAAGAUAUAACUUGUCAUGUAUACCUACUAUCAAGAGGUUAGAAGGUAGUGGUAUGACAUGUCUAUUAGUGGAAGAUUAUGCGGAUGUCUUGUAUGUUGAGAUAGCACUUGAGAUGACGCGGAUAACUUGUACUAAGAGAUUGGAAGUUAGUGGCAUGACUUGGCUACUAGUGGAAGAUAAUGUGAAUGUCUUGCAUGUUGAGAUAGAACUUGAGAUGAUGUGAAUAAAUUGCAUUAAGAGGCUGGAAGUUAGUGACAUGCCAUGAUUAUUGUGAAAAAUGACGUGGAUGUCUUACAUGUUAAGAUAGAACUAGAUGACGUGGAUACCUUGGUUCAAAGUUAGGGCAAAGAUGACGUGAAUAUCUUGCAUGGUAAGAUAGAUCAUGGGGUGGGGAUUAACUUUAGGAAAAAGUUCAUAUUGCUCCCUCCAAGUUUGGCUUAUGCCAAAAAAAAAUCCCAAACUAACAUUUGGUUCAAUUUACUCCCUCCAACUAUUUAAGUUGGUGCAACUAACACCUUAAAGAGAUUUUUCUUUUUUUUUGUCUAUGCACAAAUUAUAUUUUAGUUUCAAAUUUUGUGAGGUCAUAGAGGACGUUGUAUUUUGUGUUAGAAAAAUACACUAUGAAUUUUUCAUCACUGUAUUUUAUACAAUAUUGUAUCUUUAAUAUUAAUUUAUUAUUAAAUUUUCUAAGCUACAAAAAUAUAGUGGCAAAAAGAUAAGAUACAUUUUUUUAAUAUAACUUAUGAUGUUCUCCACAAUAUCACAAAGACUCUAAUACAUGGAAAAAUAAAAAUAAUAAAUUAUGUUAAGAGGUAAACUAGACCAACUGAAAUAGUUGGGGUGAAUAAACUGAACAAGUAUUUAUUUAAUCCUCUGUAUCCUUGCUCUUAUUAGCAAGCUGCUGUUGUCAGCAGCGACGAUCGUCAUCUUCCCCAACUCUAUAGCGUAGUAGAGGGCUCCUUAGGCUUGCUUUAGGCUAGUCCAGAACACGAGGCGGUGGCUGGCGGCGACGGCGGCUAUGGGCGAAAAUGGCCACCCUUACUCGCCGGCGGAGCUGGAGCUGCCAGGGUUCGUGCCGCAGCGGCUGUCGCAGGGCCAGAUCCUCGCGCCUUUCGUCGGCAACGCCGUCUUCUCCGUCCUCGGCGCCUGGCUCAUUUCCGGUAACCCCACUGCCUCCACUCCUUUCGAUUAUAUAACCAAAAUCUGUACAGAUCCCGAUCGAUGAUGGGCUUCGCAGGAAGAUGCCGCGGCGGCGGUAGAUUAUCCAGGACCGACCGCUUGCUCAUGGGCUGGUGGCUGUUCGCCGCGCUGACUUACAUCGUCUUAGAGUCACCCUUCCUCUUCACCCCUGAUUUCCUCAGCAAGGAAAACCCUAAUUACUUCGACGAGCUAUGUGAGUUCUUGGGCGCUGCUUCUACCCAGAUCAGCAUAUAUUGCUAACUGUAGUUUCGAAAUCAGCAGAUGGUGUAUUGCUUUGGCCUUGUUUAGUUCUAUUUUGGCACUGUAGUAUUCUCGUUUUUAUUUGACAAAUAUUAUCUAAUCAGGCUUAAAAGAUUCAUCUCGUGAUUUACAGACAAACUGUGCAAUUAGUUUUUAUUUUUGUCUAUAUCUAAUGCUUAAUGCAUGUGCUCCAAGAUUUAAUGUGACGGAGAAUCUUGAAAAGUUUUUGGUUUUCGGGGUGAACUAAACAAGGCACUGACAUAGCAAAUAAUGCAAAUGUUGAUUCAGUUAAGGAGUACAGCAAAGGUGACUCUAGAUUCGCCGCUAGGAACUCCACAGUCCUCGCGCUUGAAGUGGUAACCAUCGUGCUGGAAGGACCUGCAGCUCUUCUUGCAGCGUAAGAGCACAGCUGUUUCUCAUCCCUUAAUUUCCAAGCACGCAAAAAUUGAUCACUUUAAGCUAUUCUUUUCUAAUGGUAGAAUGUGUAGUUUAAAAAUAGAUUUAGCUAGUGCCACUACUAGUCUACUAGUAUUCCUCGUACUGGCAGAGGUAUUGUUAUUUAUUUGGAAAACAUAAUUAAUUAAGCCCAUUGAUGAUAUAUAGUUCUUUCUUCUUAUUCAGAAGUUCAUAAUUCAUGGAAGAACUAAGAGAAGUUUGUAAUUACUAAUAUAAGAUGAGAUGGCUUAUUUGUUCUAUGUAACCACACAUGCUUUCCUUGCUGCUUGCAGCUAUGCGAUUGCAUCCCGGAAGUCGUACAGCCACAUCCUCCAGUUCGCCGUUUCUUUGGCCCAGCUAUACGGACGCUUGCUUUACUUCAUCACCGCGUACCUGGAUGGCUUCAACUUCUGGGUCAGUCCGUACUACUUCUGGGCAUAUUUCAUCGGUUCCAACAGUUCAUGGGUGAUCAUACCAACUCUCGUCGCCACAAGAAGCUGGAAGAAGAUUUCAGCAGCAUUUCAAGCUGAGAAGAUCAAGACCAGAUAAUCCUGCAUUCCUGUGUCCUGCCGUGCGUUUGUCAUAAUUGCUUGGAAGUUGUAACACCCAAAAUUUGAUUUCGGAUUAAUAGGAUUUAAUUUGAUUUAAUUAAGUAUUUUUGAGAGCAUUUAAAUUUAGCACUUAAAUAAUUUUGUGGAAAAUAAAAUUUAUCAUAAGUUUUAGAAACAUGUUGUUGCAUUCAUGUUGGAGCACAUUUUAUUCUAUGCUUGUUGUUUUUUUUAUGAGAAUUUAUUUUGCACACAAAACUCUAGUUGGAAAAUGUUUGGAAAAAGAAAACAGAAAAGAUUUUUGAAAAAAAAACCCAGCCGAAACCCCCCUCACUCCCUCGGCCCAGCCCCUCUCCGGCCUGCUUACUUUUCCCCACCUUGGCCCAUCCGCGGCGGCCCAGUUGGGCAGCUCACCCGCGCCCUUCUCUCCCUCCCUUUGGCUGACGCGCGGGCCCAGCGCGCAGCGCCUUUCUUCUUCCCUGCCGUAGCCUGGUAGGUUUCGGUUGGGAGCGAAACAGAACCGAGCCCAAUCUUCCCAAUCCCGAAAACCCCGGGAUAACUUGCCUUUCCGAGCCCUAUAAAUAUCUCUAGCCUCGCCCGCAUCCCGUUUUCCCACCGCGCCGCUGAAAUUGAACCGUAGCUACCGAAUUCGUCGAAGUUGGAUCACGCCGUAACGUGCAGGAAGUUUCUUCCUCGUCUCCUCGCGGCCGGACCAUCCUAAGCCAUCCCCGACGCCCGCUAAGUGGUUAGGUGAGUCCGCGGCGAGCUCCUCUUCCCGCCGGUGUUUUUAUUUCUUGAAACCGUGCUCGGAAACGAGAAGUCAACAUUCUCCGGCGAGCUUUCCGGCGGCUCGCAUGGCCACCGCCGCACCGGAAUGCCCCUGGUGGCCGGCGCCACCGUGAUUUGGUCCUGGAAGCUCGUGAACCGUCGGAUCCAAGAUCAAGGGCCAGGAUUAGAAGAUACCCUUUCAUUGCGAGAAUUCGUGAAGAGUCCCUGGAAAGAUUGGUUAAUUACCCCGCGGUCCCUGGCGCCCUGGAACAGAUUACGUUUCCUUGUGUUGAAAGCGUAUUUACGUUUGGUUAAGGCCAAAUACGUUUUCGGCUAAUUACAGUUUUGCCACUGGUUUGGUUUUGCUCAUAAAAUAUUCAUUUUAACUCCGUUUUUGUCCAUUCAAAUUCCGUUGGAUUCGUAUUUACGAUCUCUACAUGUUAGAAAUAUUAGUUUACUGUUUUGAAACUUUUUAAUUCUGCAGUAGCAUUUAAUUAAUUAUUUCUUUAUAGGAAAUCUUAGAAAAUUCAUAUCUUUCGCGUUUUAAUUCCGAUUUUCGUGAACUUUACGUUUGUGAUCGUAGCGCUGCGUAGAAUAUUUUGAUAAACUUUUAUAUUUGUUUUACCACUGUUUGGUGUAAUGUUCUAAUUAUACCUUGUUUGCUUUGUGUAUGAUUGUCUCCAUUGGAUUGCGUGUUGUUGAUUGAUGUUUGGGAAUAGACGGUGAGCUGUACGUUGGUGAUCAAGACCAAGCUUUUGAAGACCAGCGGGCUCAGGAGAGCUUUGGUCAAGGCAAGUAUAACUUGGGAUCAUCCUUAUUACCUAUACACACAUAAUACAAUAUUUAUCAUAUGCAUGUGUCCCCCUUGAUGACCUUAGCAAGAUCAUAGAUGAUUGUUACCCUGAAUUCCUUGUUACCUAUUUUGGAUAUGCAUUUGGUAGUUCUUGCUAGUGCUUGAUUAUUAAUCCAUGAUCUUGUGACAUGAAUAUUUGAAUAUACAAUAAACAAUAAAAUAAGCUUUCUAGCAACUUGAAUAUAAAGGGUGGAAAGAACUCUGGCUUCUGCUGGAUUGAUCUUGACCCUCCAUAAGAACUUAUCCCUUGGCAAAAGCUGGGAUAGCACGUACAACCAUGAGGGCUAUAUGGCUCUGGCUUUAGCUCAGUAUGAAGAACUUUUCUAGCUUGUUAGCGGUUACCCGAAAGGGCGCUAGAGGGGCUGAACCGUUUUGGGUAUAGUGUGGCCUCUGUCUGUAUGUGUAUAGGCUGCGAGUCAUUGUGCCAUCGGAAGGGGGGCUCUAUAUCUGCGCGCAAAGGAAACCUUGCGGCCCUAACAUGUUAGACGAACUUUUGAAAGGCUUCAUAGUGAUCCCUGCUGACCUCCCUUGGAAGGGGGUUAAGAGACUAGCUACCUCGGGCGAAAGGGUAAAUCAUGACUCAUGGGUAAAGAUGUACAACCUCUGCAGAGUGUUAAACCUGGUAUACUAGCUGUGCCCACGGAUACGGGCGGCCCGGAAAACUGACGGAAUAGAUGGACACUGAUGAACGUGAAUAAUGAUAAUAAAUGAUGGUUUAUUGUGUUGUUUAUAUGUGUUAUUCUUAAUUCUUGUAUACAUUGAUCAUGUGGUUAUGGAAUUUAUUAUGCUACCUUGACAUUUGCUAUCCAAUGAUUAAACAUGCUAUCAACUAUUAAAAGCUAAAUGCAGUCAAACCAGUGUCAGCUAUUUGAGCCUCAUGAACCCCUAGUUAUACUUGUUGAGUACGAAAUGUGCUCACUCUUGCAAUUUCCCAACACCUCAGGAUAUGACAAUGAAGAUGACUGGAAUGAGGAUUACCGUUAUGAGUACUAGGUUUGAAGUCAACCAGUCAACAGUGUCCCUGUGUGGAGCUUCCGUCGAGAGCGUUGUUUACUUAUUGCUAUCAUUCUUGUAUGAGACUAUGUGAUAUAUUAUGUUCCGCUAUGUAAUAAGCACUGCGAUGGUACAUUUGAGAUUUGUCUACUUAUGUGUGCGACUGUUUCUGGGGCACAUAUGAGUCUUUUUAUGCAUCCUAUUUUGUUCUUAAAAUAUGGGUGUGACAGAAGUUUAUUGGGAGGUACUGUACAAUGCAUGCUGUACAAUAAUAUGGGCAAAUCAUGAUCAUUUGUUCCUGAAUCUGGGAUUCUUGUGUUCUUGGUAAAAGUAAACCUGUACUAUUUUGCAUCCUUUUUGUUUUUGUGCAGUCAGUCAUAUGCAAUGGUCUUAUUUCUUUUUAAGCAAAUUGGCAGGUGCUCUGCCGUUUUCACAAUGGUCUUAUUUUGAGCCUGGCGUGUUCAGGUCAAACAACUGGAUUGUGACUGUACCAACUCACAUUGUGGCAUUUGAUUCGAAGCUGCCCCUUUUGUUGUGCCAUAUAAUUUUGUUUAUAUAUAUGGCUUGUCGUUACAAUGGAAACAGGAAACAAAACCACAAUAUGAUUAUUUUUUUUUAAAAAAAAAGUCCACCACACGCUAUUCUUUAUCCAUUAUUGAUGCUAGUUGAGAGAUGUCCGACCGACUCGCUAAGAGCAAGUAUUAUGGUGUGUUGUAAGCUGGCUAAAUGCUGAUGUGGAGGAGAGAAGAGAGGAGAGAGAGGAGAAGCAGGCUGUAAGCUUACAGCCAGCUUAGACACAAUAACCAAGAAACUUUGUGAGAGAGAUAAGUGGGCCAUGUAUUAAUAGUGAAUAGCUAACUAUUGUAUGGAUGGGCUGGGAGAAGGCUGUAAGGAACCUUACAGUCAGCAAGUGGGUUGUAUUAUUAAACUUGCUCUAACCUGCCCAACUGCCCAAGUUUCCGCAGUCUGGCUUCCUGAACUUAAAGCCAGCCAAUAAUUGAGCUGCUGCUGCCAGGCUGAGAUAUAAAAUUACUAUAGAUUCAAGAAUCCUUAUUGAAAAUUUGUGUUUAUCGGAUGAUAUGGGUCCUUGAUGAAAAUAAUAUGACUAUAGUUCACUCGAUAUUCUUUUAGUGUGUUUUCACUUGGAAACAUUAAGCAAAAUUGUACUUGUACAUUACCUUUUCUUUUUCAUUUGCAAUUCUAGUCAUAUAAACUGUAACAUUAGAUUUAUAGUAUUGGACAACACAAGUUAUUUUAAUUUAUGUUGAUCGUCAAAUACUUUUGCGUUAGACAUAUUAAGUACGGGAUUUGACCAAAGUGGUACGGACACAAGGUUCUGCUGUUUAAAGUUGACAAACUAAAAAAGCAGUACAAGGCCCACCUGAAAUUUUAAAACUUUUUAAGAUUCUUCUUUGUAUCGAAUCUUACGGUACAUGCAUGAAGUAUUAAAUAUAAAUAUAAAUAACUAAUUGCACAAUUUGUCUAUAAUUUGCGAGACGAAUUUUUCAGCCUAAUUAAUCUAUGGUUAAACAAUAAUUACCAAAUACAGACGAAAGUGCUACGACACCUAAAGACUCUUGGCCCAAAGAACUAAACAAGGACUGAGUGUUUAUACAACAUACAAUGUUUUUUAAAUUAUCAAAAGACAGGUCGAAAAGCACACUGCCACCACUGCUACAACGUUCUCGGUUAUUAUUACACAAACAUCUUGAAGAACACACACAGCGAAGGCAACAUUAUUUGAAGUUAAUAAUUACAUAACAGACAUACACAGCUACACGUUGCCGUUGGGCAGACAAAUCAAGAGCAGUGCGUGGAUGGAGCUUUGAUCGAGUUCCAUCUACUUGAGGAAGCCCUGCGCCAUCUUAAACAGCCCACCGGCGGCGCUUUCCUCCCCGGCGCCGCCCUGCUUCUCCACGAGUUGCUCAGCGCCCUUCACGACGUCGCCGAGGCCAAACCCUUCCGACGACGACUUGCCGCCUUCCUCCUUGGGCGCCGGCGCAG
rnacentral:lncRNA from 1 species